GACAUCGUAGUAAAAAAACAUGCAUAUGUUUCUUUCAAAGAGAUGAAUGCAGUGUCUGGAAAGGUCUUAUCAUACUCCACAAAUUUAGAAAAGUCCAAUUUUUCAAGAAACUGUAAUGCAGUACCACGCCAGGAAUACUCUGAUGUCCUCAUCAGCUACGAAAGGGUUGUACAGAUGCACUACGAUGGGAACCCCCUCCACUGCAAAAAGUGGCACCACACACAGUCCCCGCAAUGCUUCGUCCUCUGACUUUUGGGUGCACUGAUCAAAAAAUGCAGCACAGUCGGAAAAAAGCCAUGAAGGGGCACCUUUAGGUACUGCAGUACCAGGUCGAUGCAUGGAGCGGACGGAGCAAGCCCCUCUUCCAGUUCCUGGCUCUAAAAAUCCAUUUAAUAUAAAGUCCUCGAAUGGAGGACGUAUCAGGUAUUAAACUGA